GUACUCCCUGCUGCCCAGUCCCGGCCAGGACGCUGCCCGGCUUAGCUGGGGCGCCCCUCGAGACCAGGAUGGAGGGUUCAGCCGACUCCUACACCAGCCGCCCAUCUCUGGACUCAGACGUCUCCCUGGAGGAGGACCGGGAGAGUGCCCGGCGUGAAGUAGAGAGCCAGGCUCAGCAGCAGCUCGAAAGGGCCAAGCACAAACCUGUGGCAUUUGCGGUGAGGACCAAUGUCAGCUACUGUGGCGUACUGGAUGAGGAGUGCCCAGUCCAGGGCUCUGGAGUCAACUUUGAGGCCAAAGAUUUUCUGCACAUUAAAGAGAAGUACAGCAAUGACUGGUGGAUCGGGCGGCUAGUGAAAGAGGGCGGGGACAUCGCCUUCAUCCCCAGCCCCCAGCGCCUGGAGAGCAUCCGGCUCAAACAGGAGCAGAAGGCCAGGAGAUCUGGGAACCCUUCCAGCCUGAGUGACAUUGGCAACCGACGCUCCCCUCCGCCAUCUCUAGGUAGCCUCCCCCCAACCCACCCAUUUUGGGUAGGUGGGUAGCUAAGACACAGGGAAAGAGGGGAUCCUGCCCAAGUGAACUGUGUGGGAAGGGUUUGUGGAGGGAUCGGAAGGGGUGGGGAGAAGCCAGUAUCUCCCCUGGGGACGGGGAUACCAUGCCCCCAGGGACCUUUCCCCCUUCACCAACUUUAAUCUUGUAUUUCCUUUUCCAAAAAGCCAAGCAGAAGCAAAAGCAGGUGAGUCAAGGAAGGGACCUGGGCUGGGGGGAUCAUGGCUUAUGGCUCUGGGGACAGUGUUCUAGGCAGUCAUUGUUGGAGGGCAGAACAGAGAGGGGAGGGAGCCCAGAACCUCUGGAUCUGCCCUGACGCCAACCAGGCAUGAGACAGGCACCAGGGCCAUGGUUUCUACUGACCUCAUGUCCAUUCUGCA
rnacentral:sRNA from 1 species